CAGCAGUAGUCAGACAUUGAACUUUUAUUGUAAUGGAAAAUCAUGGCACAUCUCAUGUUUUCUGCUAACCUUUCUUCUUUUCCAUUUUUCCAGCAGUUGCCUCAAGCACUUACCAACCAGCAGGCAAGUCCUGUUUCUUCAUUCCCAGUGGAUGUACUGGACUCGAACUCCACCCCCACCAUAGUGACCGACAGCAAUGGCAACCAGUUCCUGCUAACACUGUCGAAUCAAAACACAGAGACACGGGCCAGAGGCCGCCGCGCCCAGAACAAAAGACUACAGUCUACACCCACCAUGUUUACCAACCAAUCCGUGACUGAAUUCCUUAACAAAAACAACCAAUCAGAACAGCCCAUACAAACCGUCAUUUUGAAACAGCCAAUCAAAAAGGCACUAAAGCCAGACCUAAAUGUGACGACCAAUUACAAAGCAUCAAGCUGCACAUCCAUCUCAUCACCAGCCAACAUCCAACCGUUCCUCUCUCCAGUGGAUUCCAUGAACGACACUGAACCCGUCCCCUCAUCUCCCAACAACAACAACGCCUAGAGUGAGAGACAGAUGUUCAGAAGUACGCCUACAUCAAGCAAGGAUGAGAGACAUCUGACGCCACCAGAAAAACUUUAUCUUUUGGGAUUUGCAGGAAGAGCUCUGUCAGUGGAAACACAGUGAGGUUUGAUGCCAUGUCUUGAUGUGCUGAUGCUGUGAAAUCAUUCAUGACAGGUUAAAUCAUUCAUUCUCUCAGCACAUAAUUAAAUUGCUUAACUUCAGGAAAGACUAAACAAAACCACACCAUCUCAGAGAUGUCAACUGGCAGAAACAUUUAAUUUUAUUGGCAGCGUGGAGGGUAAGUUUUAAGUAAACAUAAUGGAUGGCACUGUGUUAGCUCAUGAAUAUUAAAUCAUUGCUGACAUAGAGUGUUGCAGGGAUGAUGUAUUUUUCUAGGCCAAAAUCCAUAAUCGUGUUAGCAUUUUUGGUUCCAUUGUCCUGAAGUCAAUGGGUUCCCUGUUGAAAAUGCAGCAUAUGCUGGUUAGGUAUGUUUUGAAGCAUGGCAGCUGGUUUGAGCUAGUUUAAGCUAGUCCUAAGCAACUAGCUCCUGCUCAAGACCAGAUUAAACCAGCUAAAACCCACUGCUAUGCUUCAAAACCUACCUAACCAGCAUAUGCUGCUUUUUUCAACAGGGUUUGAAUGGAUUUUUGGUACCUGAAUACCUGAAAUAAGGUCUGUGGUUAACACAAGCUCGAGAUAUUUUCAUGUUUCAUGUUACUGCAUUAACAUCAGUAAUAGCUCUUUGUGAUUUUAUAAGCUUUUACUUGUCUUGAAAAAGGUGGUGGCUAACAAGUGGUUUAUGGGACUACAGAGGUUGUCAGGGACAUUAAACAUUAAAAUCACACUCUUGCAAACUAUUCGAACUUUAAGGGGAAUUUUUUUAAAAUAAAGUCUGAAAGAGUUGUCGAAGGUUAAUGGUGGUGAAGUCAUGCAACAGUGGUGCAGUUCAUUUAUAGCCUACACUUCGAUUUUUACUACUGCUGAUUGUGUUUAGGCUUCAAAAUUCAUGAUCAUUUGUGAAGAUUAUCAUGAACGUGAAAUGUGUAAGAAUCAUAAACUUUUGUGGGUCACAGAACUUAUUUUCUGCAAUAACCCAAAAGCCAAUGGAAAAAUACUAUUGGGUUUUAAUCGAGAGAACCAGGUUGAUGCCAACUUUUGCGUUGGCCUACAAAAAUAUGUCAUCACUGCAGUGCUUUAUUGAUGUCCCUGAAACAUCCAAUUCGUGUAUGUGUUACAUGUUUUUUUUUCACAGCCACAGUCCACAGCCAACGGAUGGAUGGGCAAAAAGUGCAGGAGGUCACGUCUCCCUCUGUUUUCUAGCACCUCUAAUGUGAAUGAGUUAGUGAAGUUGUCUUUGUUGCUUGAGUUUCUCUCCAAUUAAACUGCUGUGACAGAUGGCUUUGCGGUUACAUCUUUGCUACCAAAUCAUUUCUCAGGCUACUAAAAACAAC
rnacentral:lncRNA from 1 species